GACGAACGCUGGCGGCGUGCUUAACACAUGCAAGUCGAACGGUGAAGCGCUGUCCUUUUUGGUUGGUGGGUAUGAGUGGCGGACGGGUUAGUAACACGUUAGUAACCUUCCCCCUUCUGCUGGAUAACCGCAUGAAAGUGUUGCUAAUACGUGAUAUUCUGCGCCUGCUGCAUGGUGGGUGAGGGAAGGAUUUUGCGUUUGUUUUAGAUCGGUGGGGGAUGGGGUCGCGGGCUAUCAGCGUGUUGGUGGGGCAAUGGCCUACCAAGGAGGUGACGUGUAGCCGGGAUGAGAGGCUGGCCGGCUACAAUGGGACCGCGACCCAGACUAGACCGCUAGGCGGGAGAGGAGUGGGGAAUAUUGCACACGAGAGGCAAGCCUGACAAAGCGACGCGGCGUGAGGGAGGCUGGCGUUCGUGUUGUGCUCCUAUUUCGCAAGUGAAGCAGGCCUGCUACUUGUGGGUGGGUUGACGGUAGCUGAAUAAGAAGCGCCGGCUAACUACGUG
rnacentral:rRNA from 1 species